UACGGAGGGUGCAAGCGUUAAUCGGAAUUACUGGCGUAAAGCGCACGUAGGUGGUUUGUUAAGUCAGCUGUGAAAUCCCCGGGCUCAACCUGGGCACUGCAGUUGAAACUGGCAAGCUAGAGUAGGGUAGAGGGGUGUGGAAUUCCAGGUGUAGCGGUGAAAGUGCGUAGAUAUCUGGAGGAACAUCAGUGGCGAAGGCGACACCCUGGACUCAUACUGACACUGAGGUGCGAAAGCGUGGGGAGCAAACAGG
rnacentral:rRNA from 1 species